rnacentral:rRNA from 1 species
AUGAAGUUCUGUUUCCUUUUGAUUGCAAAUAUAGGUGCUAUCAUGGCAGCAAGCACAGGGGCUUCAGGAUGGCUAAGGGGCAAGGUGAAGGCUCUGACGUCUGGAGACUGCCUUCUCAUCAUGGGGAGCACAAAGGCAGAGAUUCCACCAGAGAAGUCCAUCACUCUGUCAUACCUUAUGGCCCCAAGGCUGGAGGUCACAUUUAGAGUGGAUUACACUGCUCCUAACAUCGGACGAGAAUUUGGCACUGUCUACCUUGGCGACAAGAACGUUGCCUACUUGGUGGUUGCUGCAGGAUGGGCAAGGGUGAAGGAGCAAGGCCCCAAGGGGGGUGAACCACUCCCAAAUGUCUCUGAGCUUCUGAGGUUGGAGGAAGUUGCUAAGCAACAGGGUUUAGGCCGUUGGAGCAAGGAACCUGGUGCUGCUGAAGAUUCGAUAAGAGAUCUUCCACCAUCAGCAAUCGGCGAACCAAGUGGUUUUGAUGCAAAGGGUUUUGCAGUUGCAAAUAAAGGAAAGAGUCUGGAAGCCAUUGUCGAACAAGUUCGUGAUGGCAGUACCAUUCGUGUUUACUUGCUUCCAAGUUUCCAAUUUGUCCAGAUAUAUGUCGCUGGAGUGCAGGCUCCGUCCAUGGGGAGACGACCACCGAAUCCUACUAUUGUUGCCGAACCAGAGGGCACUACUAACGGCACUACAAAUGGUGACGAUUCUGGGGAAGCUCCUGCACCACUGACAACAGCACAAAGGCUUGCUGCAUCGACAGCCUCUACUGAAGUUCCACUAGAUAGGUUUGGAAGAGAAGCUAAGCAUUUCACAGAGACUCGUGUUCUGAACAGAGAUGUGCGGAUUGUGGUGGAGGGGACAGACAGUUUCAGUAAUAUAAUUGAUCCAGGAGUCAGUGCUUGCAGAAGCAAGAUAUGUGUCAUCACCCCACGACACGGCGAAUCGAUUUCUUGGCUGACUAUUUCAGCCGCUGAUGACAUUGAAUCUCACAUAUUGAACAGUAUAGCAGGAUUACUACAACAAAGUGAAGGAUCGUCCUGUGGUGCCUGUGAUGCCUGUAAUUUGGCUGGCGGCGGAUCUGUGAUACCGGGAGUGAGUGUAUCUGGCGGCGGAUCCUGCAUGCCUUCGGCGGUGGCUCGUCACGUCCUGGACGUCUCCGGCGACGGGUCCUGCAAGGGAUCGGUGCCGGAUCCUGGAAGCGAUCAGCGGAGGGUCCUGCACGGGACAAGCGCCGGAUCUAAUGGAUGUGCGAGUUACACGCCGGCGGUUUUGAUGUACCAGGGCGGCAGUGCAUGGAUGGAUGGGUGGCGGUGA